rnacentral:rRNA from 1 species
GACGAACGCUGGCGGCGUGCUUAACACAUGCAAGUCGAACAGAAAGGCCCUGCUUUUGUGGGGUGCUCGAGUGGCGAACGGGUGAGUAACACGUGAGUAACCUGCCCUUGACUUUGGGAUAACUUCAGGAAACUGGGGCUAAUACCGGAUAGGAGCUCCUGCUGCAUGGUGGGGGUUGGAAAGUUUCGGCGGUUGGGGAUGGACUCGCGGCUUAUCAGCUUGUUGGUGGGGUAGUGGCUUACCAAGGCUUUGACGGGUAGCCGGCCUGAGAGGGUGACCGGCCACAUUGGGACUGAGAUACGGCGCAGACUCCUACGGGAGGCAGCAGUGGGGAAUAUUGCACAAUGGGCGGAAGCCGGAUGCAGCAACGCCGCGGGCGGGAUGACGGCCUUCGGGUUGUAAACCGCUUUCGCCUGUGACGAAGCGUGAGUGACGGUAAUGGGUAAAGAAGCACCGGCUAACUACGUG